rnacentral:rRNA from 1 species
AGCAGCCGCGGUAAUUCCAGCUCCAAUAGCGUAUAUUAAAGUUGUUGCAGUUAAAAGCUCGUAGUUGAAUUUCGGGAUCAAGUCGUCGGUCGUGCUCAGGUACGUACUGGCGUCAUUGAUUUCUCCCUUCUGACGAACCAUGAUGUCAUUAAUUUGGUGUUAUGGGAAAUCAGGACUGUUACUUUGAAAAAUUAGAGUGCUUAAAGCAGGCUCACGCUUGAAUACAUUAGCAUGGAAUAAUGAAAUAGGACGUUCGAUCCUAUUUUGUUGGUUUUAGGAUCAACGUAAUGAUUAAUAGGGAUAGUUGGGGGCAUUAGUAUUCAAUUGUCAGAGGUGAAAUUCUUGGAUUUAUUGAAGACUAACUACUGCGAAAGCAUUUGCCAAGGAUGUUUUCAUUAAUCAAGAACGAAAGUUAGGGGAUCGAAGACGAUCAGAUACCGCCGUAGUCUUAAACCAUAAACUAUGCCGACUAGGGAUCGGAUGAUGUUAAUUUUUAAUGACUCAUUC